rnacentral:rRNA from 1 species
GACGAACGCUGGCGGCGUGCUUAACACAUGCAAGUCGAACGGAAAGGCCCUGCUUUUGUGGGGUGCUCGAGUGGCGAACGUGUGAGUAACACGUGAGUAACCUGCCCUUGACUUUGGGAUAACUUCAGGAAACUGGGGCUAAUACCGGAUAGGAGCUCCUGCUGCAUGGUGGGGGUUGGAAAGUUUCGGCGGUUGGGGAUGGACUCGCGGCUUAUCAGCUUGUUGGUGGGGUAGUGGCUUACCAAGGCUUUGACGGGUAGCCGGCCUGAGAGGGUGACCGGCGACAUGGGGACUGAGAUACGGCCCAGACUCCUACGGGAGGCAGCAGUGGGGAAUAUUGCACAAUGGGCGGAAGCCUGAUGCAGCAACGCCGCGUGCGGGAUGACGGCCUUCGGGUUGUAAACCGCUUUCGCCUGUGACGAAGCGUGAGUGACGGUAAUGGGUAAAGAAGCACCGGCUAACUACGUG